UACGUAGGGUCCAAGCGUUAAUCGGAAUUACUGGGCGUAAAGCGUGCGCAGGCGGUUCGCAAAGACAGGUGUGAAAUCCCCGGGCUUAACCUGGGAACUGCGCUUGUAACUAGCGGGCUAGAGUGCGGCAGAGGGGGGGUGGAAUUCCACGUGUAGCAGUGAAAUGCGUAGAGAUGUGGAGGAACACCGAUGGCGAAGGCAGCCCCCUGGGCUAGCCACUGACGCUCAUGCACAAAAGCGUGGGGAGCAAACGAGGAACAUUGAUAUACCGUCCGUAGGUCCAGACCAAGUCCAUCCUG
rnacentral:rRNA from 1 species